AUGCAAAUACACCAUUCAGGAGGGUGACUCGCAUUCUGAUUGGGUUUCAUGUGUUCGAUUCAGCCCGAAUACACUUCAGCCCACUAUCGUUUCUGGAUCCUGGGACCGUACUGUGAAAAUCUGGAACCUGACUAACUGUAAGCUGAGGUCCACUCUGGCUGGACACGCCGGCUACGUGAACACCGUGGCUGUCUCUCCUGAUGGUUCAUUGUGUGCUAGUGGAGGCAAAGAUGGUACUAUUUUGCUUUGGGAUUUGGCUGAGGGGAAGAAGCUAUACUCGCUUGAUGCUGGCUCUAUCAUUCAUGCGCUGUGCUUUAGUCCUAACAGGUACUGGCUCUGCGCAGCUACUGAAACUAGCAUUAAGAUUUGGGAUUUGGAGAGCAAGA
rnacentral:lncRNA from 1 species